AUCGGAACGUGCCCAGUCGUGGGGGAUAACGCAGCGAAAGCUGUGCUAAUACCGCAUACGAUCUAUGGAUGAAAGCGGGGGACCGCAAGGCCUCGCGCGAUUGGAGCGGCCGAUAUCAGAUUAGGUAGUUGGUGGGGUAAAGGCCCACCAAGCCGACGAUCUGUAGCUGGUCUGAGAGGACGACCAGCCACACUGGAACUGAGACACGGUCCAGACUCCUACGGGAGGCAGCAGUGGGGAAUUUUGGACAAUGGGCGCAAGCCUGAUCCAGCAAUGCCGCGUGCAGGAUGAAGGCCUUCGGGUUGUAAACUGCUUUUGUACGGAACGAAACGCUCCUUUCUAAUACAAGGGGGUAAUGACGGUACCGUAAGAAUAAGCACCGGCUAACUACGUGCCAGCAGCCGCGGUAAUACGUAGGGUGCGAGCGUUAAUCGGAAUUACUGGGCGUAAAGCGUGCGCAGGCGGUUAUAUAAGACAGAUGUGAAAUCCCCGGGCUCAACCUGGGACCUGCAUUUGUGACUGUAUAGCUAGAGUACGGUAGAGGGGGAUGGAAUUCCGCGUGUAGCAGUGAAAUGCGUAGAUAUGCGGAGGAACACCGAUGGCGAAAGCAAUCCCCUGGACCUGUACUGACGCUCAUGCACGAAAGCGUGGGGAGCAAACAGGAUUAGAUACCCUGGUAGUCCACGCCCUAAACGAUGUCAACUGGGUUGUUGGGUCUUCACUGACUCAGUAACGAAGCUAACGCGUGAAGUUGACCGCCUGGGAGUACGGCCGCAAGGUUGAAACUCAAAGAUUGACGGGGACCCGCACAGCGUGGAUGAUGUGGUUUAUCGAUGCAACGCGAAAACUUACCCACUUGACAUGUACGAUCUUUAGAGAUAGAGGAGUGCUCGAAGAAGCGUACACAGUGCUGCAUGCUGUCG
rnacentral:rRNA from 1 species